GUGCCGUCCACCGAACGGUCGGCAGGCGAUCCGCGUCGGUCUCGCUGGGUGGGUAUGUUUCCCCAAAGGCCGGUUCUUGUGCUGCCUACCCCUUCAGGGGAAGCGGGCCACUCUGAUGUAUGCCUCCAUCCGGCGCCCUCCAACGGGCGCAGGAGGACAACGGAGCACCCCCCGCGCUCCACCGAGCCCCCCCCGGUCGCGUGGCCCGCGGGGACGUGCGAUGCUCUCGGACCCAGCGAACGCCGUGGGCGAGGACUCACGUCCCAGUCCCAAUAGAAGCUCCCAAUUAAGGCUGAGGGCCGCUCCCGCCCCCCACCGCCCCGGCGGCGCGGGGGCGAGGCGCGGCGUCGCGGAGGAAUGCUACCU
rnacentral:misc_RNA from 1 species